rnacentral:rRNA from 1 species
UACGGGGGGGGGCAAGCGUUGUUCGGAAUUACUGGGCGUAAAGGGCGCGUAGGCGGCCUCUUAAGUCGAACGUGAAAUCCCCGGGCUCAACCCGGGAACUGCGUCCGAUACUGGUGGGCUUGAAUCCGGGAGAGGGAUGUGGAAUUCCAGGUGUAGCGGUGAAAUGCGUAGAUAUCUGGAGGAACACCGGUGGCGAAGGCGGCGAUCCUAGGACCGGGUAUUGACGGCUGAUGCGCGAAAGCGUGGGUAGCAAACAGGG